AUUGAACGCUGGCGGCAGGCCUAACACAUGCAAGUCGAGCGGAGCGGCGGACGGGUGAGUAAUUCCUAGGAAUCUGCCUGGUAGUGGGGGAUAACGUCCGGAAACGGGCCCUAAUACCGCAUACUACCACAUGAGCCUAGGUCGGAUUCGCUAGUUGGUGGGGUAAAGGCCUACCAAGGCGACGAUCCGUACCUGGUCUGAGAGGAUGAUCAGUCACACUGAAACUGAGACACGGUCCAGACUCAUACGGGAGGCGGCGGUGGGGAAUAUUGGACAAUGGGCGAAAGCCUGAGCCAGCCAUGCCGCGGGUGUGAAGAAGGUCGUCGGAUUGUAAAGCACUUUAAGUUGGGAGGCGUUACCAUCAGAAUAAGCACCAGCUAACUUCGUGCCAGAAGCCGCGGUAAUAC
rnacentral:rRNA from 1 species